AAUGUAUUCACACAAAUACAAUAAAAAUGGAAAAAUAACUACCCCUUCUUCAGGCCGUGAUCUUUCUCUCUCGCAAAGGCUCCUAAGAGGAAAUCUGGACUGUUCACAGAAUCCGCAUCAGCCACCAGGCAGGAGAGAAGACUUCAUCAAAGCAGCUUCACUCAUAACGUUGGCAGUUCAAGGCCCAGGAGCACGACUGCUCCAAGGCUGAUUGGUCGGAAGCAAGGCCAGUUCGCCUUCUUGCAAACCAGCAGCCUCUGGAGGGAAAAGGAGGAGCCGAGUUCAACACGACGAACUGCACCGAGGAGACUCUUGGCUGCACCCUGGACACCGGGACUCCACCCCCGCCGCUUAUAUCCCACUCCUGGGGAGCUGCUCCUCCUAGCUCGGCUCUGGACCGGUGGCAGUGGGUUCUGUCAUGCACUGUAUCCUCUGACAGUCCCCUCCCCUCCCCUCCCCUGUGACCGUGGUCCCCAACCUCCUUUCACUUGCGUUACCCGCAGCCCAUUUCCAUCAACACUAACCCUGCAUGUUAGCAAAACGUUUGUAAUUCCGGGAGUUGCCAAAUAGCCCAAUAACUGGAUUCUGCCCUUGUACAUUUUUCUCCCAUGCUGCUAAACGUCCUGGUUUGUACCACAGGCUGGGAGUCAUUGACCUGUGAGCCUCAGACCCUGGGAACGGGGUCAAAUAUGACAUGAAUGAGCCGUGUGAACACACACACACACACACACACACACACACACUUUAUGUGCCUGUUGCCAGCCUCCGAUGCGAGGGGAGGAGGCAAGAAAACACCCUGUUCUCGGGGUGUGCAGUGAACCUAAACCCAAGUGCGCCUCCUAGGAGAGUGACGCUGGGUGAACGGUGGGGUCACACGAAGGUAAGGAGGAAGCAGCGCUAAGGGCCUCCGUUGCAGAAAAAUCCAAGGCAUCUGUUAAGAGACAGGCCAACUCAGAGAGAGAGAGAGAGAAAGAGAGAGAUCCUGCUUUACAGGCUGUGUCUGCAUUUACUCCACUCCACUUCUUUG
rnacentral:lncRNA from 1 species